UUGCUGACCGAAAGGUCGGCGGUUCAAAUCUGGGGAGCCGGGUCACCUCCCGCUAUUAGCCCCAGCUUCUGCCAACCUAGCAGUAUGAAAACAUGCAAAUGUGAGUAGAUCAAUAGGUACCGCUCCGAUGGGAAGGUAACGGCUCUUCAUGCAGUCAUGCCGACCACAUGACCUUGGAGGCGUCUACGGACAAUGCCGGCUCUUUGGCUUAAAAAUGAAGAUGAGCACCAACCCCCAGAGUCAGACACGGCUAGACUUAAUGUCAGGGAAUGAGAGAACACAUUCGGAAUAUCACAUCUUUUGGAAUGAUCAUUUCGUCAGCUCCCAGUGAAAAUUAACCACAAAGUUGCAUUGACACAGAAACUCCUAGUGAGGACAUUUUAAUCAAACCUGCAAAUGUGAAGGACUGACAAUAUAUCCAGGGACAGAAUACUACCUGAGUAAAUUAUACUCUAUUUUAAAGAGAAAGGAAAGGAAGCUUGCAAUUUUUAUGUUGACUCUGCUGAUGUCUUUCAGUUGCAGCACUAUGUCCAAAGGUGCACCAAUCAAUAUCUGUUCUAGCUAUUCAUGUAUUGAUCUUUACAUUUAGGUUUGGUAUGUUUCUGACAGCUCUUGUAGCCCCUCUUUCUUUUCUUUUCUUUUCUUUUAAAAGGAGGAAAGCUUUAUAUUUUCAGCCAUCUUUUAAUAUAGGAAGUGUUUUUGUACAUUUUCCUGAAGGACCAAAUUAAACACUGGGAUGUAUUGGCAGUGUUUUGAUGCUGCCCAUUUUAAGGAUAUGCUAUACCCAACAUGAGAUGGACUUGCAUUGAAAGCAUCCCCUUUCAAGCGUGUGGCAGGAAAUUUAAGAUAUACUUUUCCAUAAAAUAAACAGAGCCUGUAUGGUAUUUUAAAAAGAGAAUCUAAAAAAGAGAUCUAGUGUCUCCAAACCUGGGACAUUCUACUUGUCCAGUGCCACUUAGUCCCUAGAUAAAACAGCUUAUUUUAACAUCUGUAAUAUACUAUAGUGUAGAUGCUAAAUGGUAUAUGGACAUAUUUUCACUAUAAUUUAAAAGAAUGAUUGGAAGGUAGCCUCUGUCCCACCCAAAGGAGUCAGCCAAAUGCGCGGUCUAUAUAUACACAAACAAAAUGCAGUUUAAUCCAUGUAAUUCCCAUUCCAAGGGAAUAUCAAAAUUAUAAGAUGUGAUGUAGUCUUCUGAUUUACAGACAUAAAAAGCAUAAGGUAAUAACUAAAUCCAGAGUGAACUCGUCCUAUAAGCUAAAGAUGCCCUUGUAUCUUGGAUGAAGGAGGAGGGGGAAAUCAUGCAUUCCACCCACAUGUUUUACACUGCAACUCCCAGCAUUCUUCUUCCUUAGCUCUGCUAGCUAGGGCUGCUGGAAGCUGCUGUCCCAAAACAAUUUGGAGAUCUUCAUGUUUUCCACCUCUAGUACAGAAAAAUUGGGAACUAUUGUAUACUGUGUUAGUUUGCUAGUUUAUUUCACUUAGAAUUUUCUGCUCAGUCUGCUUCCUAAAUUUAGGUCUUUAAAUAGAAUCUGUGGUUUCCACCUGCUCUGGAAGAUAAACUGGUAUUUCUGUGCUAUGUUCAUCAAACUAUUUGCACUUCCCUAAGUAUUUCAGGAAAUUAAGCUGCAAAAGGCAACUAAAGGAAUUACAACGAUAUGGAUGCACCAACCGAUUCCUCCCCUUUUGGUUGAAUUAUGUCUAUUACCUGGACUAUCUACACACAUCACAUUCAACUCCUGGAACGAUUACAUCAGCCUUGCCUCUGAAAAAUCCUGCAAAUUUCUUGGGAAGACAGGUGGACAAAUGUCGACGUGCUGGAAGAAGCAAAGACCGCCAGCAUUGGAGCAAUGCUCCUAUGCCAUCAACUCUGCUGGACUGGCCACAUUGUCUGAAUGCCCGAUCACCAUCUCCCAAAGCAGCUAUUAUACUCUCAACUCAAUAAUGGAAAAUGGAAUGUUGGUGGACAGGAAAAGGGAUUUAAAGACGGGCUUAAAGCUAACCUGAAAAACUGUGGCAGGACACCAAGAACUGGAAUCCCUGACCCUUGAGUGUUCUAACUGGAGGUCAGCUGUGACCAGCAGUGCUGUAUAAUUUGAAGACGCAUGAAUGGAGGGCGAAAGGGAGAAAUGUGCCAAGAGGAAGUCAACAAAAAAGUCAAGUCAACACUGACUGAUAUGGCCUUCCAUCUGAAAGCUGAUUUCCUCAAUGUGGAAGAACAUGUGGGUCAGGAAUAGGGCUCCACAGUUACCUACAUGUCCACUGCCAGGACACUGCACCUGAAAGACAAGCAUACUCAGACAACAAGGAAUAGCCUAAUUUCAUCUAUUACCAGGAUGUUUUUGAUCUCAGCAACAGCUGUUUUGUGGACGGCCACUACAAAUGCUAUGACUGCCACCAUCUCUAUUUUAUUUCCUUCAAAUGUCAGUGUUCCAAAUUUCCCUCUGUCCCAUGAACCAACAUUGUAAAUGUGUACUAGGUCUCUGCGGUCAAUGAAAAAAAUGUUUCAAUACUCAUUACUGGGAAUUUGGGGAAUUUUAAAAAGUUUUAAAGUACAAGAGAGAUCUCUUUGAAUUUCUAUUUUUAAUGAUACAACAUAACCAGGGUAUCAUUCCCUCCAAGUUUCAGAAAGAAUUGCACAUCCACUGAUUUUUAGGGAAAUUUAACCAACAUAAACUUAACAGUACUAAUUCACUGGAAGACCCCAGGGGCCAUCCAGUCCAACCCCCUUCUGCCAGGCAGGAAAAGUACAGUCAAAGCACCUUCAACAGAUGCCCAUCCAGCCUUUGAAAUGAUGAUGAUGAUGAUGAUGAUGAUGAUGAUGAUGAUGAUGAUGAUGAUGAUGAUGAUAGGAAACCUACUAGAUAAACUUUGGAACUACUGCCUCUCAUAUUUGCCUACCUCAAAGGGUUGAUACAUCUCCCAACAAUCCCCUUUUAUCUUGAAAACCCUUUAGAGAAAGAACAUGGGUUCUCCCCACCAAAACUUUUGAGGAGGGGGGGGGAAGGAGGAGGAGGAGGGUGGCAGCUUUAAUGCAGAUAGCCCCGGUAUUCUGAAGCGAACAGAAUUCUAGGAAAUAUAGUUUGAGAAACUGAGGACCCCCGUGGCAGAGAAUUCAAAAGGGCCUGGCCUAAAUUAUAUUUUCCAGAAUUCUGCUUGCUUCAGAACAUGAGGGUUGCUUGUGUUAAAGCCUCAAUGUGAGUGUGGUCUCUGCCUGUCUCUCUCUGGGCUGGCCGUGUGCAGGAGGGGCUUCUUCCUUGCCUGAUCAUCCAGCCAGGCAUCCCUCCCUCCCACCAUCCUCUUUGGGGAAAGAGAAGGGCCUCUUCCACUCCAGCUUCACCAUCCUCCUCAGGUCCCUUUGGGGGAACCAAACCCAGUCCUUUUGAAGGAGAAGCAACGCCCACAACGAAGACCUGGAACCACUUACAAGACUUACAUCACUCUUCUGAAAAGUUAUAGGGAGUGAAGGAACAAUGAAGGAAGGGGACGAUGAAAAAUGACAUCACUGUAGCAAAGUGUGGACCACAUGCAAAUCAGGCCUUGGAAAAACUACCUUUUGAGGAUGGCAGUUCACAGAAUGCCCAAGCCAGCAUGACCACUAAGGUUGGCAGAAGCUGGGGCUAACGACAAGAGCUGACCUGGCUUCCCAGAUUCCAUUCGGUCAGCAAGUUGAGCAACUCAGAAGUUUAAUCUGCUGCAUCACUGGAGGUGCUGGAGGAUAUUAGGCAUGGAAUUUAAAAAAUGCACAAUUUUGAGUAAAAUGUAAAAUAUAGAACAGCAGGAGGAAUUGCAAACAACAUAUGCAUUGGUGUCCUGCAUCUGAAUCGUCGUUCUUAGUGGGAAACUGUUAAUGUGAAAGAUGUAUUAUUGAGUAAUAUGCCCAUCACUGAGUAAGCCUUACAUGGCCAACAGGCUGCUUGCACUUUUUGGUUGUUAACAGUUUGGCUGCAUUUGUAGUAAUGUUGCUUUGUUUAUUUCUUCCUCCUUCCUUUCCCUUCUCAAUGUACAGUAUGAAUGAAUUUUUAUUAAAAGGACACAGACCAGGAGUUUAAAACACAAAAAUAAGAGGGUUUUUAAAAAACCAUUAAAAUCAGAAGUUUAAAACAUUAAAAGCCAACAUUGGCUAGAAGCAGGCAUGUAGCCGGGGGGGGGGGGGGGGGGCUUGAGGGGCUUGAGCCUCCCACCCAAAUUCUCAGGGUUGUCCACAAGAAGGCCUUACAUUUAUUAUUUAAAGUGUUAUGUUUAUUCAUAUCAUGAUCUGAUCAACAUGCUCAAUAUAUCCCAUAUGCAUGGGGGUAUUGGGAUAACGAUACAAAAGGUUUGCUAGGGUAGACCCUCUCCCGCUCAGACUCAGCCCCCCCCCCCCCCCCGAACCAAAAUCCCAGCCCCUCCCGAAACAAAAUCCUGGCUACGGGCCUGGAUGGAAGCAUAUGGUGGAAUCACACUGGAGGACCUGGAGAGGUCCAUAAAACUUCAAGAGUGGGGGGAUACUUUUGGUAAGUGAAACCAUGGAUAUCAUCUCUGUGGAUAAGGAAUUGUACUGUAUUCACUUAAGACAGUGGCUCCUAACCUUCUCUUUUUUUAAAAUCAGGGCCCACUUUGACCAGGGCCCACUUAACCAAGGACUACUUUGACCAGGGACCAUUCUCCAACAUUAGUACCAAAGGGUUACAAAUCAGUUUUUGGUCAACUUUAAAUUUGGUUUGGUUAUUUGGGGUGCCGAUUCAGAAAAUUGCAUUGGAUAGACCACAUCAGCUCUAGUUUCUGAUACAGAACAUAUGCCAUCCAUUAGUAGCCAUUUGCUCACCCACAGAAAACCAUGUUUAAUAAUCUAGAGGCAGAGGCGGUCCAACCAUAAGGCGAAAUAGGCACUUGCCUGUGGCGCCAUCGUCCCGGGGGCGCCAUCGUCCUGGGAGGAGGGCACCACUCUCCACCUCCUUCUCUUUCGGGCCUUCCGGCGGCCGCGCUGGGCCUUCCAGCCGGCGCGGACCCACCUUCGCAUCACGCGAGCCCACCUUUGGGGCCUUCAGAGAUUGUGAGGUCUGUGGGAACUUGGAAGCUAGGUAUGUGGGGUUUAUAUAUCUGUAGAAGGUCCAGGGUGGGAGAAAGAACUUUUCUUUGAAGCAGGUGUGAAUGUUGUAAUUAAUCACCUUGAUUAGCAUUUAAUGGCCCUGUGGCUUCAAGGCCUGGCUUCUUCUUGCCUGGGAGAAUCUUUUUUUGGGAGGAGUUAGCUGUCCCUGAUUGUUUACUGUCUGGAUUUUUUCUGUUUUCAGAGUGUUGUUCUUUAUUUAUUGUCCUGAUUUUAGAGUUUUUUUUAUACUGAGGGCUAUCUGGGUUAUCUAAGUCCACACUGCCCUAUAUCCCUGUUCAAUGUUUAGUGCUAAAUUCGCAUAUAUAGUAAUUCCUACAUAACAUUACCAUGUAUUGAACUGCUUUUUCUAUUUAUUUGUUGUAAAACAUGAUGUUUUGGUGCUUAAUUUGUAAAAUCAUAAUGUAAUUUGAUGUUUUAUAGGCUUUUCCUUUAUCCUUCCUUAUUACCUGUGCUGGACGGGGUUACACUCCCCCUGAAAUCACAGGUCCGCAGUUUGGGGGUCCUCCUGGAUUCAGCGUUGACGCUUGAGGCUCAGGUGUCGGCGGUGGCCGGGAGGGCUUUCGCACAACUCAAACUUGUGCGCCAACUGCGACCAUACCUCGUGAAGUCUGACUUGACCACGAUGGUGCAUGCCUUAGUUACCUCUAGACUGGACUACUGUAAUGCGCUCUACGUGGGGCUUCCCUUGAAGAUGGCCCGGAAGUUACAAUUGGUCCAACGCUCGGCCGCCAGACUAAUAACCGGGGCGAGUUACAGGGAGAGAUCUACUCCCCUGUUUAAGGAGCUCCACUGGCUGCUGUUCAUCUUCCGGUCCCAAUUCAAGGUGCAGACCAUCAUUUAUAAAGCCCUAAACGGUUUGGGACCCGCCUACCUUCGUGACCGUAUCUCCUACCAUAAACCUGCCCGAUCUCUCCGAUCAUCAGGGGAGGCCCUCCUGUCGCCACUACCUAUAUCUCAGGCCCGCCUUGUAGAAACAAGGGAGAGGGCCUUUUCUGCUGUGGCCCCUCGCUUGUGGAACUCACUGCCCAUUGAAAUCAGGCAAGCCCCCACCCUUUUAGCCUUCAGGAAAGAUUUAAAAACAUGGCUCUUCCGGUGUGCUUUCAGAGAGUAAAUGUUCUUUGCUACUCCCCCCAAUAUUUAUCCUCUAGACUGGUUCACUAUCUGAUGUCCCUGUCCCUCGAGGUUUUUAUUCUGAUCCCUUUCUCACCCAGAGUUUUUAAUUUUUAAUCUAGUUUUUAAAUGUAGUGUUCAUGCGGCCCGCCCUUGUUAUAUUGCUGUUUUGAUCUUAUGUUGUACUGUUUAUUUUAUGUAUUGUAUUAUUUAAUUGCAUUAUGAUAUGGUUAUAUUGUAUUGUCCUGGGCAUGGCCCCAUGUAAGCCGCCUCGAGUCCCCAUUGGGGAGAUGGUGGCGGGGUAUAAAUAAAGUUUUAUUAUUAUAUUA